rnacentral:rRNA from 1 species
UCAGACGAUGCGUCAUGCAUAUCAAUAAGCGGAGGAAAAGAAACUAACAAGGAUUCCCUCAGUAACGGCGAGUGAAGCGGGAAGAGCUCAAAUUUGAAAUCUUGAAAGGUCACCUUUCACGAAUUGUAGUUCAAAGAAGUGUUUUCUGUUACGAUCGUAAUAUAAGUUCUUUGGAAUAGGACAUCACAGAGGGUGAGAAUCCCGUCUAUGAUUGCGAUUUGUAGCUUUGUGAUACACUUUCAAAGAGUCGGGUUGUUUGGGAAUGCAGCCCAAAACGGGAGGUAAAUUUCUUCUAAGGCUAAAUAUUGGCGAGAGACCGAUAGCGAACAAGUACCGUGAGGGAAAGAUGAAAAGAACUUUGAAAAGAGGGUUAAAUAGUACGUGAAAUUGUCAAAAGGGAAGCAUUUAACACCAGUGUUGUUUUCUGAAAAUCAACCUCUGUUAGCUUUAUGCAUGUUUGUUUAGACCUAAUCAGCUAUCUUGCAUGUUCUAUUGUUUGCAGUGGUGCACUUUUCAGUUUACAGGUCAACAUCAGUUUUUUUUACCGUAAAAAAGUUAAAGAAAGGUAGCUCAUGGCUCCGGUCGUGAGUGUUAUAGUCUUUUUCCUAUGCGGUAGGAGAGACUGAGGUCUGCAGUGUAGGCUAUUUGGCUAGAUACUCAGGUGCUAUGUGAUACCAUUUCAUAAACAACUUGUUGAUUAUGUUUUGUCUAUUGCAUACUCGCUUGUACUAUCAUACCUACGCUUAGGAUGUUGAAGACUCUACAGAGAUA